rnacentral:sRNA from 1 species
AAUUCAGGCAAAUAUAGCUCAGUUAGGUUAGAGUGUUAGAUUGUGAUUCUAAAUGUCAUGGGUUCAAAUCCCAUUAUUCGCCUUGAUAUUGAAUCUUUUUAAUGCAUUAAAUGGAUACCUCAACGUUAAUAACAUAUAUAGAACGUUUGUAAAACGAAAUGUUAUAGCGAUUAAUUUUCGCCUAUAAUUUUUCUAAUCAUAAAAGAGUUUUGAAGAAUUUAAACGAAUUUUGAUUGUAAUACGAUCAAAAUUUUUUCAAGCUAGUAAACUGAACCAUCUAAGUAACUAGAUAAAAAAUCAACCGAGAGACUGUGAGUAGUGGCGAGCGAAAGCAGCAUAGAUUAUUUUAAAAAGUUUAUACUGUGUGUUUGAAAAACAUCAACCAAAGAAGGUAGCAUAAGUUUAAAACAUGCAGUCCUGUAAAACACAACCAAAACUUUUAAGUUAAAAAGUAAAAUUAUACAUGUCAUGUAUUAUUUCAAUACUGGGGGACCACCCUCAAAAUCUACAAAGUAUUAACGAUUGAUAGCAAACAAGUACCGUAAGGGAAAGGUGAAAAAGAUUUGAAAAGAACUUGAAAUUUAAUGUUUAUAAUCAGUUGUAGCUUGUUUUAAAAGCGACAGCGUUCCUUUUGCAUAAUGAAUCAAUGAGUUUAUAUCAAUGGCAAGCUUAAACAGUAAAAAGUGUAGGCUAAAAAAAAUUAAGUUUUAAAUUGCGCUAAAAUAAUUAGUCUUUGAUAUAAGACCCGAAACUAAGUGAUCUAACCAUGAGCAGGCUGAAUUUAAAGCGGUAACGCUUAUUGAAGGGCCGAACUCGUGUAUGUAGAAAAAUACUGGGAUGACUUGUGGUUAGGGGUGAAAGGCCAAUCAAACUUAGAGAUAGCUGGUUUUCUGCGAAAUCUAUUUAAGUAGAGCGUUUGAAAUUCUUUAUUUUAAGGUAGAGCACUCGAUAAAUAAAGGGGACGUAAAGUUUUACUGCAUUUAAUGAAACUCCAAAUAUAAAAUUUAAAAGAUUUUAAACAGACAGACUAUGAGUGCUAAGAUUCAUAGUCAAAAGGGAAACAGCCCAAAUUAUUUGUUAAGGCCCUUAAAAGUAAUUAAGUGAAAAAGAAAGUAAAAAAAUGUUAAUAGCUUAUAGGUAGGCUUGGAAGCAGCCAUCUUUUCAAGAAAGCGUAACAACUCAUUAGUUUAGCUUUUUAGCAUCGAAAAUGUAUAGGGACUAAAAUUACUUGCCGAAACAAUAAAUUUAAAGUCGACUAAUUUAUAGUAAGUGUAAGUUAGUUUACUUUAAAUGGUAGCAGAACGUUUUGUAUUUUCGAGAAGAUUUAUAGUUAUAUAAAUUGAAAAAAUCAAAAAUGAAAAUAUUGAUAUGAGUAGCGAAAAACGGUUAAGUGAUAACAAACUGCGUCACCUUAAGUUCAAGGUUUAUAAGGAAAGGCUAAUCCACCUUAAUGUUAAUCGGUCCCUAAGAUAACGACGAAAGUUCUAAUUGAUGGGUAAUAAUUUUUUAUUUUAUUUUAAAGUGACAAAAUACAAACUUAAUUUUUAAUUACAUAUUAAAGGUUUUUUAGUAUUUUCAGGAAAUAGCUUAAAAUAAUACCGUACUCUAAACCGACACAGGUGAACAUAUUUAGUAAAUUAAGAUGCUUGAGUUAAUUGUAUUGAAGGAACUCGGCAAAAUGACUCCGUAACUUCGGGAGAAGGAGUAGCUUUUUAGGUGAACGCCUUUUAAAGCUGUCACAAAAUCGAGGACAGCGACUGUUUAAUAAAAACACAGGUCUCUGCAAAUUUGAAAAAAGAGGUAUAGAGACUGACGCCUGCCCGGUGCUGCAAGUUUAAUAGAAGAAGUUUUGGCUUUGACUUUAACCCCCAGUAAACGGCGGCUGUAACUCUGACGGUCCAAAGGUAGCGAAAUUCCUUGGCAUUUAAUUGGUGUCCCGCAUGAAUGGCGUAACGACUGUCCUACUGUCUCCAAUACAAUCUCAGUGAAAUUGAAAUGUCUGUGAAGAUGCAGACUACUCGCGGCUAGACGGAAAGACCCUGUGCACCUUUACUAUAGUUAUAAAUUGUAAUAAAAUUUUUUUUGUGUAGUAUAUGUGGUAAGUUUUCAAUAGGCCAUAACCCAAGUUAUUUGUCUAAACGUUCAUGAAAUACCACUCUAAAAAACUUUUGUUACUCAUAAUUCUAAAAUAGUUUAUAAUGGGUAGUUUGACUGGGGCGGUCGCCUCCUAAAAAGUAACGGAGGCGUACGAAGGCAAGCUCAAAUUGAAAAAACCAAUUGAAGAGCAUAAUAGUAUAUUGUUUGCUUGACUGAAAGAUUGACAAAUCGAACAGGGAUGAAAAUCGGUUAUAGUGAUCCGAUGACUCUGAGUGGAAAAGGUCAUCGCUCAACGGAUAAAAGGUACGCCAGGGAUAACAGGCUAAUCAUUCUUUAGAGACCCUAUCGAUGGAGUGGUUUGGCACCUCGAUGUUGGAUUAUCGCAUCCUGGAGCUGUAAGCGGUUCCAAGGGUUUGGCUGUUCGCCAAGAAAGGCGGUACAUGAUCUGAGUUUAGAACGUUGUAAAACAGUUUGGUCCCUAUCUACCGUGAGUGUUAAAAAUUGAAAGGAGUAAACCUUAGUACGAGAGGACCGGGAAAAGUAAAUCUCUGGUGAAUCGAUUGUUAUAUAAAUAGCAUUGUCGAGUAGCUAUAUUUGUAAUAGAUAAUUGUUGAAAGCAUUUAAACAAGAAACUAGCCUUAAAAAAAAUUUUUAAAAAGUCGUAAAAGAUUAUUACGUGAUAGGUUUAAUGUGUAAGAGUUGUAAAAUUUUUAGCUAAUAAAUACUAAAAUUUAAAUUGUUUAAGAUU